UAUUGGAUUUAGUGAAAGGGGGAGGGGGGGAGAAAGACAGUUGCUGGCAAGUUCCCUUGCUUGCAUGUGCACGUCUCUUCUGUCUACCUCUUUCGUUAUGCUACACCCUGUGCACCCAUAGUAGGUCGCUCGCAAGGGCUUGAUCUAUGAUUUUCUAUAUGAUCCUACUAUCGUAUGUCUAUGAUGGAAAAUGUGUAUACAACUUUCAGCAACGGAUCUCUUGGCUCUCGCAUCGAUGAAGAACGCAGCGAAUUGCGAUAAGUAAUGUGAAUUGCAGAUUUUCAGUGAAUCAUCGAAUCUUUGAACGCACCUUGCGCUCCUUGGUAUUCCGAGGAGCAUGCCUGUUUGAGUGUCAUUUAUAUUCUCAACCAUGUGUUUCAUGGAUUGGACUUGUGGAGGUUGCUGGCAUUGUCAGCUCUUCUGAAAUGGAUUAGCAAAGGACGGCCUUGGACGUGAUAAUGAUCGUCAUGGGCUAGUGUCUCUUUCUGAAACUUGACCUCAAAUCAGGUAGGACUACCCGCUGAACUUAAGCAUAUCAAUAAGCGGAGGAAAAGAAACUAACAAGGAUUCCCCUAGUAACUGCGAGUGAAGCGGGAAGAGCUCAAAUUUUGAAUCUGGCGGUGUUUGGCCGUCCGAGUUGUAAUCUAGAGA
rnacentral:rRNA from 1 species